rnacentral:rRNA from 1 species
AGUAGGGAAUAUUGGUAAUGGGCGAAAGCCUGAACCAGCAACGCCGCGUGUGCGAUGAAGGCCUUCGGGUUGUAAAGCACUUUUUGAGGGGAUGAGGAAGGACAGUACCCUCAGAAUAAGUCUCGGCUAACUACGUGCCAGCAGCCGCGGUAACACGUAGGAGACUAGCGUUAUCCGGAUUUACUGGGCGUAAAGCGCGUGCAGGUGGCUCGGAAAGUUCGAUGUGAAAGCUCCCGGCUUAACUGGGAGAGGUCGUUGAAUACUUUCGGGCUAGAGGAUGGGAGAGGGAGGCGGAAUUCCGGGUGUAGUGGUGAAAUGCGUAGAUAUCCGGAGGAACACCAGUGGCGAAAGCGGCCUCCUGGCCCAUUUCUGACACUCAGACGCGAAAGCUAGGGUAGCAAACGGGAUUAGAGACCCCGGUAGUCCUAGCUGUAAACGAUGUAGACUUGGCGUUGGCGGGUUCAAAUCCGUCAGUGCCGAAGCUAACGCGAUAAGUCUACCGCCUGGGGACUACGGCCGCAAGGUUAAAACUCAAAGGAAUUGACGGGGCCCCGCACAAGCAGCGGAGCGUGUGGUUUAAUUCGAUGUUACACGAAGAACCUUACCAGGGUUUGACAUGCAAGUGGUAGGAAACCGAAAGGCGACCGACCCCUCGGGGAGCUUGCACAGGUGCUGCAUGGCUGUCGUCAGCUCGUGUCGUGAGAUGUUCGGUUAAGUCCGCUAACGAGCGCAACCCUCGUCGUGUGUUACAUGUGUCACGCGAGACCGCCGGUCUUAAGCCGGAGGAAGGUGGGGAUGACGUCAAGUCAGCAUGGCCUUUAUGUCCUGGGCUACACACACGCUACAAUGGCAAGUACAAUAGGUCGCGAAACCGCGAGGUGGAGCCAAUCCUCAAAGCUUGCCUCAGUUCAGAUUGUAGUCUGCAACUCGACUGCAUGAAGAUGGAGUUGCUAGUAACCGCAGGUCAGCUAUACUGCGGUGAAUACGUUCCCGGGGCUUGUACACACCGCCCGUCACGUCAUGGGAGCUGGCAACACCUGAAGCCGGUAUCCUAACCCGCAAGGGAGGGAGCCGUCGAAGGUGGGGUCAGUGACUGGGACG